CUCGGCAGCCCAUCCUGCAUCACUUCAGUGGACUUCUCUGACAUCUACUAGACCACAUUAAAUGAAUCACAGCCUUGAAACUGAACUGGAAGGACUUCCUUCAAGGAGCCAGCAUAUGAACUUGCUGCCUAUCUUUAGCAAGGAGAUGCAAAUGACAUCCACAAACCUCUUCUGCUGUAUACCUGGAUGAAAGCAAGGCUAGCUGUGUGUCCUAUGGCACCAAGGACUGAAAGAUUGUAAGAAGUAAGAGUAAGUAAAUUUUUAGCUGCUAUAUUCCCUAAUAGCUAGACUUUAAAAGUAUUUUUAACUCUUUUCCUCUAUUCUUGCUAGGUGAACAAGGCUAAAACCUGGGUUUAGUUUUCAUUUUAUAAAUUAUUCUUUAAAAAUAAAUUAUUUCAACUGUCUUGAAGAGUCUGUAAAACAAGGUCUGUGAAGUCACAGAGGGAAAAAGAAUCAGAAAUCAGUAGACAGCAGUUAGACCACGGGUGUUUGUUAUACAUUCGUUCUAGACAUUCAUCAAAAGCUCAGAAAGGGAAAGUCAAGCGUGCCAAAUCAAUAAAGUUUCUAUCGUAUUUCA
ensembl:lncRNA LINC01065 long intergenic non-protein coding RNA 1065